rnacentral:rRNA from 1 species
GACGAACGCUGGCGGCGUGCCUAAUACAUGCAAGUCGAGCGAAGAGUUGCUGGUGCUUGCACUAGAAAAACUUAGCGGCGAACGGGUGAGUAACACGUAAAGAACCUGCCUCAUAGACUGGGACAACUAUUGGAAACGAUAGCAAAUACCGGAUAACAGCAUUAACUGCAGGGUUGAUGUUUAAAAGUGGGUUUUGCUAACACUAUGAGAUGGCUUUGCGGUGCAUUAGCUAGUUGGUGGGGUAAAGGCCUACCAAGGCGACGAUGCGUAGCCGACCUGAGAGGGUGAUCGGCCACACUGGGACUGAGACACGGCCCAGACUCCUACGGGAGGCAGCAGUAGGGAAUCUUCCGCAAUGGGCGAAAGCCUGACGGAGCAACGCCGCGUGAGUGAAGAAGGAUUUCGGUUCGUAAAGCUCUGUUGUUAGGGAAGAAUGAUUGUGUAAUAACUAUACACAGUAGUGACGGUACCUAACCAGAAAGCCACGGCUAACUACGUG